rnacentral:lncRNA from 1 species
GGGAAUCACACCAAAAAAACCUAGAGGCCAAUGUUUGAAUUCAGAAUGAGGCAUAUGCCAAACAAUCCUCAGCUAUCAACUCUUCCUGGUGUUUGGUGUCGGGCUUAUAGUCAAAUGAAAGACAACGACUAUGAGUUUUAGUUGUACAGAAGAAAUCACCUUGAUCUCCCCCAAGCACACAUAUAUAUGUGCGAGCACACACACACACACACACACACACACACACACACACACACACACCAGGACUCAGAGCUGCAUAGGAUGUCAUUUCCCUGUCUUGUUCUGAUUAAUUGACAGCUUAUGCUAUAUGCUUCUUUCCUGAAGGUGACUUUAUAAUCUCUAGGCACCGACAUGUCUCGCUGAAGUCAAGGAAGGAGAACUCACAAGCUAAAGUGUGUUUCACUGGUUUUAGAGAAACCUGAAGAACUGGACAAAGACGGAGGAAAGGCAGCCAGAUGUGAUCCUCAACUUGCAGAAGCGGAGAGCCUCUCUCAUCCCUUAGGAACCAUGGUAGUCACGGAUAGGAAUGAGCAGGUGAAAACCGAGCGGAUCCUGAAACACCCAGUCUCAGGGGAACCACGUAUGCUUAUCAGGCCUCAAACCUCUUAAAUAAACUGCAUCUCUUUCCAUUUUUAGUUUUCAGUCAGGAAACCAGUGGAUGAUGAAAAGGCCCUGAUAUAGUCUGUGCUCCACGGGGGCAUCCACAUGCCAAUGAUAUUCUCUCUAAAAGGGCAGGGCAGCUGGGAGGGUGAACUGCCCGUAACUCUCAAUUGCCCAGGUAACGAAGUAUGGAGAGCGCUAAGCCAGAAGAAAUAACUUGAUUCUUGUGAUGGCGCUCCGAGUGAGUUGGCUGACGUGACAUGUAUGGAACGGCUACGUUAUGUUAGCUCACUCUGGUUCUCUCUCCCACUUGGGGUGAGCACGCAUGGACAGAAUGUGGGAACCUGAGGAUUGUGUGCAGAGGAACCAAGAGCUUCACCCAGAUAGUAUAACAUUUCACAGUGUCAGAGAUGACAGCCAGAGAUUGGUGGGGUCCACUGAGAUUUCUCAAGACCCUACAGAGCUACUUGGAAAAUGGAAGCUAUGCUGAAAGAACUUCUGGAACAUUCUGAACCUUGCCUUUGGACCUGAGUGUGGGGCUGUACUUUAGACAUGGCAUGGAUACACAUUCCUCACGUUGCCACUACCCUUUUGUUAGGCAAAAUGGGAGGGUGAGAGGCUGUCCUGAGACCUCUCUAGUCCAGCUCCACCCCAGGGGUGAAUCAGAGGCACCUGCAAGCCUGGGAUCUGUCUGAGAUUAUAUCCCUAGGCAGCGGCAGUGAGGCUGUGACCAAA